rnacentral:rRNA from 1 species
AUUGAACGCUGGCGGCAUGCCUUACACAUGCAAGUCGAACGGUAACAGGUCUUCGGAUGCUGACGAGUGGCGAACGGGUGAGUAAUACAUCGGAACGUGCCUAGUAGUGGGGGAUAACUACUCGAAAGAGUGGCUAAUACCGCAUGAGAUCUACGGAUGAAAGCAGGGGAUCGCAAGACCUUGUGCUACUAGAGCGGCCGAUGGCAGAUUAGGUAGUUGGUGGGAUAAAAGCUUACCAAGCCGACGAUCUGUAGCUGGUCUGAGAGGACGAUCAGCCACACUGGGACGGAGACACGGCCCAGACUCCUACGGGAGGCAGCAGUGGGGAAUUUUGGACAAUGGGCGAAAGCCUGAUCCAGCAAUUCCGCGUGCAGGAUGAAGGUCUUCGGGUUGUAAACUGCUUUUGUACGGAACGAAAAGCUCCGGGUUAAUACCCUGGGGUCAUGACGGUACCGUAAGAAUAAGCACCGGCUAACUACGUGCCAGCCGCCGCGGUAA